UACAGAGGUGGCAAGCGUUGUUCGGAAUUACUGGGCGUAAAGGGCGCGUAGGCGGCCAUCUAAGUCAGACGUGAAAUCCCCCGGCUUAACCUGGGAACUGCGUCUGAUACUGGAAGGCUUGAGUAUGGGAGAGGGAUGUAGAAUUCCAGGUGUAGCGGUGAAAUGCGUAGAUAUCUGGAGGAAUACCGGUGGCGAAGGCGGCAUCCUGGACCAUUACUGACGCUGAGGCGCGAAAGCUAGGGGAGCGAACGGG
rnacentral:rRNA from 1 species